CCCUUAGAUGUCCGGGGCCGCACACGCGCUACACUGAAGGAAUCAGCGUGGCUUUCUCCCUGACCCGAAAGGGUUGGGAAACCCGUUGAAUCUCCUUCGUGAUAGGGAUUGGGGCUUGAAAUUGUUCCCCAUGAACGAGGAAUUCCCAGUAAGCGCGAGUUAUAAGCUCGCGUUGAUUACGUCCCUGCCCUUUGUACACACCGCCCGUCGCUACUACCGAUUGAACGGUUUAGUGAGGGCCUCGGAUUGGUCUCGGCCCGCUCUUUACCGGGCGGCGCCGUUGGUCGAGAAGACGCUCGAACUUGAUCGUUUAGAGGAAGUAAAAGUCGUAACA
rnacentral:rRNA from 1 species